AUUGAACGCUGGCGGCAUGCCUUACACAUGCAAGUCGAACGGUAACAGGUCUUCGGAUGCUGACGAGUGGCGAACGGGUGAGUAAUACAUCGGAACGUGCCCGAGAGUGGGGGAUAACGAGGCGAAAGCUUUGCUAAUACCGCAUACGAUCUCAGGAUGAAAGCAGGGGACCGCAAGGCCUUGCGCUCACGGAGCGGCCGAUGGCAGAUUAGGUAGGUGGUGGGAUAAAAGCUUACCAAGCCGACGAUCUGUAGCUGGUCUGAGAGGACGACCAGCCACACGGGGACUGAGACACGGCCCAGACUCCUACGGGAGGCAGCAGUGGGGAAUUUUGGACAAGGGGCUCAAGCCUGAUCCAGCCAUGCCGCGUGCAGGAUGAAGACCUUCGGGUUGUAAACUGCUUUUGUACGGAACGAAAAGACUCUGGUUAAUACCUGGGGUCCAUGACGGUACCGUAAGAAUAAGCACCGGCUAACUACGUGCCAGCAGCCGCGGUAACAC
rnacentral:rRNA from 1 species